ACGUAGGGUGCGAGCGUUAAUCGGAAUUACUGGGCGUAAAGCGCGCGCAGGCGGCCUUUUAAGUCUGACGGUGAAAUGCCGGGGCUCAACCCCGUUGCAUGCCGCGGAUACUGGGAGGCUGGAGACAAGUAGAGGCAAGCGGAAUUCCGGGUGUAGCGGUGGAAUGCGUAGAGAUCCGGAAGAACACCGGAGGCGAAGGCGGCUUGCUGGGCUUGGUCUGACGCUGAGGCGCGAAAGCGUGGGGAGCGAACAGGA
rnacentral:rRNA from 1 species